ensembl:snoRNA SNORA18 small nucleolar RNA SNORA18
ACUGAGGCCUAUCCUGGGAGACCUUUGAACAGUAGGGCCUUGUCAUUGGAAAUGCCUCAAAGAAUAAAUCUGCAGUUUCGCUUUACCCACAUGGUCACUGCUGUAGGCCCUGUGGGAUAUUGCUGCAGAACAAAU